rnacentral:tmRNA from 1 species
UCGGUUGAAAGCGGCCCGAGGCGCACGUAUAUAUGCUGUGUCCCCUCGGGGACUAUGGACAUAAACGCGCUCGUAAUAAGCGGAUCGGACCCGGGGGCGGUACCCGGCGGCUCCACCAAUUAUCCUUCAUUUGGGGAUGGUAUGGGGCCGAAACAGGAUCGACGAACGUCUAAAGGGGUUUGCUUUGUCUCGGCGGGGUGCCACCGUAUCGGCCCGAACAGUACAAUUGCAAAUGACAAUCGUGCUCCGGCAAUGGCUCUCGCAGCGUAAGCUGUCCUGAGUCGCCGACUUUAAGCCCAGUCCUCUAGCAAGGGCUGGCGGGGUUCGCAGGCACCUGGCAACAGAAGCCUGCACU